UUUUGCAGGUGUCUGAAGCUCUGUAGAACUGACGUUGAUAAGCUCUAUCAUCUUGAAGACAAGCUCUUUUGUAGCUUUCAUAUACAAAUCAGAAGGACUACCAUCCACAAAACAACUACGUUCUUUCUUCAAGGUUAGGAGAUGGACCAGAUGAAUGCAUUAGGUGGCUGAAAUCCCUGAAACUGUAACAAAGUGUACAAGUUAUUACAAGAAGAAGGGCAUGAGUUGAUGGAAGCAUUGUGAAAAAAACCAACUGUGUAAUCCCAGGAAGUACUGGUGGCAGCUAUUAGGUGAUCACCUACAAAAGCAGCUUUGGUGGCUAGCUUCUUUGGCUAAGGGAUUACACAGUGAACUGCCUGAAUCUGUUAUAUGUCUGUGAAUACUGUUUCCCCAAGACUGCAACACCAGCCCAAUUCUUUGCUCUGCUGGAAGUCAUCCUAAGAGGUUACUUGACAUCAGCCUCAGGAAUGCCGUGUGGAACUUCAGCACUCAGCUCUUACUCCAUCAUCACAACCUUGCAGAGGGGGGUGGAUGGCUGCAUCUGGGAGUCCAUCUAAAGUUGAACAGCCCACCACCUCAUCUUUCACCAGAGUCAGCAGGGAGCACAGGAUGUAAUUGUUGUGCAUUCUCUGGAUGGCAGUCCCCAAGAAUUCCCCUCCAAGAUGAUCCAGUGGAGACCAAUAAAAAAAGAUAGAAAAACGAAAACAAGCUGGAAAGACAUGAAUUUUAUCACGGUACCCCAUUUUCCUUGGCAGACUAACAACUGCAGUAUCAGCACAGAUUUCUGCUACUUGAGCUAAUAGAGUGCCACUACCAGCCACGGGUUGUCAUCCUCUGAGUAAAGAACUUCCAGAAGAGGAUUGCUGAUGGGCACUGGUGAGAAACACAAACUGAGGUUCUGCUUGUUGGCUGGGGUGACAAGUAAUCAGAUGGAUUCCAGAUAUAAGGUAACCCACUGUGACUCCUCCAGCCUCUUGUCAUCCUUAUCCUUUGCUUUCCCCACUUCAUCCUGGGACUCCACCUUCUCCUAUAGGUGAAAGUCCAUUAGAUCCAGCUCCUGAUCUCCCACAUCUCCCAGUCUGGUUAGCUGUUUGCUCAUUCCCCAGUAUGACCCUCUUUGCUUCCAAUCUACCUAGCUGGACCAUCCUAACUCCCCAAUUCCUCCUCCUGACCCCACUCCUCAUCUAGCAUAGGUUUGGGAUCCAGUAUAUCUUCCUGAGAAUUUCUUCACAGUGCAUUUGAACAACUGUCUUCUGCACUCUUGAUUUGGACAUCUAGGAUCAGAGGAAGACAUCUAGAUCAGAGGAAGGAAGACCCCUGCUUUCCCUUUGGUUGCCUAGACCUCUUACAGCUUAUAGUAGCAGAUGCCCAUCCAUAGCAAAUGAGACCUUUUAGGAAAGUUCGCUGUUGAAACCAAAGUCAUGCACCAUGAGUUUUCAUACACUUAUUUAAUGAGGAUAAAACCAACAUGUCAUUGACACAAAAGCUGUCUUCUAUCAGAUUUUAAGUCCUUGCACCAAACAUGCAAGAUUUAUCUUUUGUCAUGAGACCAGAUGACACCAGAAUUUUUAACCGCAGCACAUUUUCCCCUACAGCCUGACAGACACGUCAGACAUGUCUGAGUUGUUUUACGCUUGUUUUCCUUGAGAAUGUGUGUCAAGUAAAAAGUCCUGAACUAUACAAUUUCAUAUUGUUUAGACAGGACAAUGACAUUAAUAAAUUUAAUCUCAGAAAAAGCAUUCUGAUAUCUUUAGUGGCCACUAUGCAGACUUUCAUUCCUUAGAGAAGAUAAGGCAUGUCCUUGCAAACAAGAAAAAUUAGAUCCUGUUGUGCCAAGGCCUACCCUCUAAGUAGUUCAAGGUGAUCAGUGUACAGUUCAGAUUAUUACAUAAAACAAUUUGCAAAGAUUUGCAAAAAUUAAACAGAAAAUGACAGCUUUUUCAAGAAAACAAGACACAGUGAUAAGCCCCAAGGACUAUGCUGAAAUCGUGUCCAGUAAAGAAGAAAAAUAUGAGACUAGACUCAGUGGGACUGUGGCAGAGUAGCAGAGAGAAGACUCUCAGUCUUCAUCCAUAGGAUGACACUCUUCCUAUAGAUUACUGUACUUAGAUUUAUUGCUAAUACAGUACCUAAAUACUGCCAAUGCAGUGUAUAAUAUGAUCAGAUCUAAAGGGUUAUAACAUAACCAGGUUCAACUGGAAAUGUGCAGGUUUAGAGCCUCUGACCUUGCAGAAAGCACAAUUACAAAGCAGCAAAGCACCUAUGGAGCUGCUUUAGGAUUCUAUCUCUAUAUAUGGUUGGAUCUUAGUGCUUUUACUCAACUCAUCCAAAAGUGAGUGUUCCCAUCUUAGGGCUGGAUGUACCCUGCAGGCAUCCCUACUAGGGUGGGAUCCAUCUGGAAGCUGCCUGUAGCCUUGGGAGAUCUACUGGCCUGGUCUCCAGCUACAUUUUAUACCCUUUUGCAGGGCAAUCUGUAAAAAAGUCAGUCACAAUCAUCACAGCUCCCCCAUCUCUGGAAUGCAUUAAUUACGUGAGCAUCCAGACAGCUCCUCCUGCAAUUCCCACCUUAGGACAAACCACAUUACCUACCAGAGACUGCAAGGGAGAGGGGGUGUGUGAGGGCAGGACACGCUUCAAGACCCAACUAUCUUUCUUUGCUGUCACAGGGACAAAAUAGAUAUACUGUAGAGUAAGCCUCAUAAACGAGCUAAAUCGUGAGUGGAUGGGCUAUUCUGCCUCUCUGGUGCCCCUAAUCUUGUGCUGCAAGGAUGCUUAAUUGACCCAAGCUGCAGAAAGAUAGAUAGGCAGCAGAAGUGCAGCAGCUUGGUUUGUGUUUUUCCUUCCCUCCCUCAUUCUUUCUUUUUUCAUCUGUGUUUGCCUUUGUUUUCUGUUUAAGAAAAACCUGCUUGAGAUAUUAAACUGUCCUUUGGAGAGCUGCCGAGACACUGUUAAUAAACAGCGUCCAAAAAGCUGUGUUAGAGACAGCAGGACGUUGCUGCAGUUUCCAUGUGUCCAUGUGACCAACAGACAAUAUGCUGUCCUGGAAUUCUUCUAGCAAUGAAUUUGCUAUUCAGUGCCAACACCAGAGUGAGAGGCUGAGUUCCCUUCCCCUGCAGCUCUUGUGCCCAUACUGCCUGCCUCUCCAGGGAAGGACUGGACUCUAACAACAGCUCUGGCAGAAGUUCCAGCCCAUCUCAGAGAGCUGAAUAACUCUCUUUUAUGAAAUAAAAACCCCAAUACUUUUUGUUUCUUACUAUGUCUUUAAGCCUAUUAAACAAUGGUGGUUUGCUCACAUAGACUUUUAACAGGAAAACAAAAUUGGAUUUUUUUAAAAAAAUGAAAGCCUUAUUUUUCUUAAUUCUGAAUAUUUUUAUUCUUUUUCCUCCCCUUAUUUUUUUUUAAUCUUUAAUAAAGGGUUUAAAAGAUUUGGUGUGGCUUAUGUUGCCACAGGAAUAAACAAGCAUUUGAAACCCCGAACUCUAUCCAAAACCUGUUUAGCAAUAUAGUUUUAUUACAGUGCCGCAGUACCUUUAAUUCAUUUGACCUCUGGGUCUGUUUAUUUUACUGAAAUUUGACUCAGCAAAGCUAAAUCCCCGUAUAUCAUUCUGCAAGACAAUUCAUUUUAUGUUUGGAUACAAACAACCAAAGCUGCACAAUCAACUAUCCACUAACUUGCCAGUUUGCACUAGUGUGGCAGAAUGGAAAAAGAAAUUGUGGUGGCUUUAUAGAAAUGCACCUAAUUUCUAUGGGAUAGUCAGUGAAUAUCAGAACAAUAGAUGUUGUAUUAACUACUAUGUCUGCUCUUUUUCCUUGUCAUAGGUAAUAUUUUUAUGGAAGGGGAUGGCAGCCUACUCUCAUUGUAUUAAGCAAAAUUCUUCAAUGGAUACCAUGAAUAAUUUAUUUAUACAUUUUUAAGCUUAUUUUUACUUGCUCUUUAGGAAACUGUUCUGUAAUAACAAGCUCUGGAACAAAAUCUAAAAGACAGGGCAUUUUUUGUGUUUGAAAUGUCUCUCCAUAUGAUUGCAAAUAAUAAAAUUAUGGAAAUAUCUUAUUCUCCAGGUACUCUAUAUUGCCCAAUGAGCAUUGUUUACUCUUCCCUCUUGCUAUAUAGUUUUGUGUGCAGAUUUCAUUGUGUCUCUGUUUUAUUUUUAAUAUUUAUAUGUAUUUAUUAACAAGCAAACCAGAGCAAUCAGUUGUUUAAGGAUGUGCUGGAGUGAACUACUACAGGCAAGUUAUAUUUAUUUCCAUGUUCAGGCUAUGGAAGGCUAGCCAGGGAUACCUCUUUGCACCUAAACAUUUUAAGUCCAUUGGAAAAGAAUUACAGGUCGGUCAAAUAAGGGGGGGUUUCUCUUUUUUUUUUUUUUUUUUUCCCCCUUUCAUUCCCAUUUUGUGUUAAGCAUUAGAAUCUGUUAAAAACAGCCCAUUACCUUAUGCCUUAAAGCAGUUGUUUCCCUGUUGCAGAGAAAUCUGCUUGAAAUGUGUGCUGCCUUUAUGACCUCCAGGCUCUACCCUGGCCAAACAGAUGGAGUGUUUCUACCUGGGCUGUCACUUUGUUUUCCUCUUCUCCCCACUGAGCUAAACCGUGCUCCCUGUGCAACCUGAGAGGAAGGACUUUUAACCCAACAUAGGGCAACAUCCUUGGCUGAGCAGGUUACAGAGAGAGCCCAAAAGCUCUGGGUAUUCUUCAGUUCCAAUGCACUGGCUCUUAGGGAACCCAAAGCAUAGGUGCACAUUUGCUUUGUUUCCUUCCACUGCCUGAUUACAGUAUUUCCAGCCUCUGCCAAGAUGAUGAUGGGCACAGGACUGCAGCCUGAAGAGGGAAGGACUGAAAUCCUGCUUUCACCAAGACCAGUGCAUCCAUGAGAGGUAAUUGCUGGUUGCUUGUAAUUCUGAAUCACUCAAAUUUCAGCAGCUUGAAACAUCAUUAACCGAGUUUCUUUUUUUCUUCUACCUUAUUGAAAUGGAAGAGACUCUUCUCCUUUAUUUGAAAUAGUGAUUUUCUUCAACUCCCUCUAUUUCCCCUAAAAGUCCUUAGGCAUUUUUCUUAAUAUAACCCCGUGCCUCAGCUAUGGUGCAUCACAGGCAAUCAAAUAAGAAGAGUGUGGUAUAUCUGACAUGACUCCUGCAUGGCUCUGAUCUGACAUAAUACCGUGAUGCUGUUGGGAUGUGAUUGCUAUAUGGCAGUCAGCACACUGGUGGGAAAUCUUAAAGGCUGCAACAGGAAUGCAGCAACAUUGCGAAGAAGGCAGUCCAGUGUGGCAAAAUGUGAGUAAAGGAAUGAAAAGACUGAAAUGGAAUAUUAACAGUAAAUACACUUGCUAAAAAUUAUUGGAGGGUGCAGGCUCCUACUGUCUGCAGGUUCUGGAAACACAGAUACUGCUAACAGAUGAUUUUUCUUCUUUUUUUUUUUUUUUUGAUAGAAAAGAAUGAAUGUAAGAAAAAUUAGGUAGGAAAGUGAAAGAAAAACAUUAACAAAUGCACCUAAAACUGUCAAAGGUGUUGAACCUGGCAUUGUUCCAGCGGCAAGAGCCGGAAUCAUUAACUUGAGCUAUUUAGCAUUCAUAUCUGGGCAAAACUGUAAAAAAAUACAAAAUGGAAAAAUUCUGCACUGGCUUAUUGAAUAACUAUAAAUAAUUUAAAGCAACUUCUGUCUUGUCUUUUACAAAUCAGUGGACAACUGACUGUGCUGUUAUACAGAAAAUGGUGGAAUUUUUUAAGCUAAUGUACAUUUUUUGACAAUUCCUAUUUUCUGACUAUGCUGUUAUGCAGUUUUAUCAUAGCUAUCUCCCUUUAUCAGAAAAUGAUGGGGUUUUUUAAAUUAAUGUACGUUUUUUGACCACUCCUAUUUUGGUUGUUAAAUUUCCUCAAGGGAAAAGGAGUUGUGUUCACUGCUUGAUAUUGGUACUAUUCAGGUCUGGCUUUGCAUUAAUUCUUCCCAGUUUGUCACUCACCUGUGAUUAAUCAAGCAGAAACUAAGAAAAAAAUUAUUUAUUUUGUAAAAGUGAACUAAGCUCUCAGUAACUGUGAAACAAUGAGUAGGAACACUAGGACAGGCUGUCAGGAAUUCCAGCUUGGUUUAGUUCUAGAUACUUUGGUGGAGUUAUACUGAGCCGCAUUUGCUGAUAAUAUGAAUUUUAAGUAUCCUUGCUAUGUUUUUCAUAAUACUCUGUAAGAGCAAUAACUUAGGAAAAUUUUGUUUUGUUCAGUAUCUGAAAUGAAAAUUAUGUGUGUUGAAGGUAUGAGCAAAAUACACCAAGUUAUUACUUGAGACCAAGAAGAAAAUUGCUAUAUUCUCAUUAUUUUAAUCUUUUACUGGAUGACAAUAAUGGCAAAUUAGAAAUUACUUCUGAGUUCCAGCUUCAUUUUAACAUUUAGGAUAUCUGCCUGCUGUUUAUUUUAUAUGACAUCUAAUUACAACAGUAUGUGAGAUAUCUCAGUCUCAGUCUUUGAGGUCCCUCACAACAAGCCCAUGGGACAAGAAAAUGCAAUUUCUGUGCAAAUGCAAACAGAGCUACAUACUUCCCUGGGAAAAAUAGUGAGUAUGUGAUAUAUAUAUAGAGAUAUAUAUAUAGAGAGAGAGAUAUGUAUAUUAAAGUCAAUCCAGCUGUCUUUAAUUCCAGAGUAUGUCUCUGAUGCAUGAACCACAACCUUUGAUCCUAGCUGAAAUGUUGAAUGAUGCCUUCAAAAAAAUACAUUAAAAUUCAUUAUACUGUAGAUUACUAAAAUAUUCCUUUGGAAUAUGACUUUUUUGAAUAGCGGUACAAGAACUAAAUUAGAUAUUAGUUACAUAUUGCUCUCAGUUCCAUAGAGUUGUGAAGAAAACAUAUCUGGAGUGCUGCAUAGCACAACUUCAUAACACUGCAGUUAGAUUUUCCCUUGUAUUUACAGACCGGUUUAUUUUAAAAUCUAUUCAAGCAUUGGAAAAUCAUAAAUAUGCAGCUCCACAGAUCGGGAGAUCAGGUUUCUGUGACUGUAAUACAUGGCUUCUUUUGACAAAGCUCUCCAAUUUAAGGUCAAACUCUGCUUGCUUUACGAUUUGAUUUAGGAUGGAAAUAUUUGUGUGAGUGAAGGAGUGUGUUUUGUCACAGUAUUUUAUGGCUGUACAGUGCUCACACUGCUCUAAGCAUAAGCAAAAAUAUGUACUGAGGUUCUAAGCUAAGAGAGGCAGAAUAUGAAAGUGUUUGGUUGAAACGUUUCUAAAAGGUGUAACAGCACGUUAAAGGUUUUAUAGGAAAUACAACUAAAAUAUGCCUGAUAUACAUUUGUUUUUCUCUCCUUACCAGAAACCCCAAAGGUUUGUACCAACACAGUUGAAGCCUCAUUUUGACUCCUCUAUUAAUACUACAAAUUUUAAAUAAAUCAAAUCAGAUACAAAAGCUGGUAUCACUCUUAAGCCCUUCAAUUUUGCCAGUGUGCCAGCAUGCAGUAUUUUGGAUUAUGUAAAUGUCAAGUUCUACUGAUUGCUAUACCAGUGUAAAGGAGCAGGAUGUAAAAGUUUUAGCAUGUACACUUUCCUCUCAAAUCUGUCAGAGGGACACAGAGAAUGGACUGCCCCAUCAUGUAACAACCUAAAUCAAUAGACAUCUAUUAAUUCAUGUGAACCAGAGGCCUCUGAUCUUACAGCCUAAUCCUUCUUUAGCCCACUGUAUUGAAGGAGUUGGUUGUAAUACUUCAGGGUGUCUCCAGCAAUGGCCACUUGGUUGAGAUAUUUUGAGAGAGAGGUGGCAUGGAACCAACAACCACAGGUGUGCAUGUCAGCUUCUAGUAAUUAGAGGAAUAUUCAUCACCUUAUGCGCUCUUUUUUAGAUAGUAAAAUACUGUUUCUGAUCAUAGAUGCUAUUAAGAAUCAUCCCUUUAUUUUAAAUCAAGAGGAGAGUACGACUGAGAAGUUGAAAAGGGGCAUCAUCUUAUCAUCAAUGCUCUGUAACUUCAUUGUGAAGGGACAGGAGAGUUACCACUGGCAUAGGCAUUGACUUUUAAAGAUUUUCUUUCCAACAGUUAACCAAAGAACAAUAACCUCCUGCCCCAUCAAAAAAACUGGAACACAUAGAGUGUUAUGUUCAGGUCAUGACUGAACAUUUGAGCAGCUAAAGUGGCACCAUGUCAUCACUGGCACACUGCCAAAAGAGUUGUAUGUCACAUCAUAACCCCAGGAAAGAAUUUCUGUACAGCUGGAAAUUGCAUGUUGAAAAGCAAAGGCAAAAUGAAAUUUUCCUGUCUCUCGUCCAUCUUCCCCAGACACUAAUCAAACACAAAGAGUUUGAAAAGGAAAUGCUCUUAGAUCUUCAGUAUUUGCCUAGAUCCAUAAAUGUCUUGAGGUAACCAAGAGUAAAAUCUGUGGGGUUUAGAUAUUAUCUAUCCAGAGUUCCUAUAUAUGUAAUCUAUUCCCUUUAAUUUCAUUAUGAUAUAAUACCCUAAGAAUUAAUACCAUGAAUAGUUUCAUUGGCAUAUAAUCCCCUAAGAAUUAAUACCAAAAAUAGUGAUGACAGAAUGAAAAAAGGGAAGAAAUGGAGAGAAGCUUGGAAUAUCUUAUCUCUUAAGGCUUGAGGUUUAAAUGAGUCAUACUGCCAUGCCUCCUAUGGUAAAGAAGGCUUUCAUAGCUGAGAGGCAAGGCAAGAGGCUUGAAAUUUAUGUGCAGCAGUCUUGAUGUCUGUCCAGACAUAGAUAGAUGGAGGGCUUGGAAGUGUUAUUCCAAAUAACACAGUCCUAUGUCUGUCCACUGUGGUUUUACACAGGGUUGUGACUUGUUUAUCCCUAUUUCGUUGUCCCACCCUCUAUUCAGGGCUGUUCAGAGAAGUUGCGUAAUAAAACAGAAGAGUUGGUUCGGCUCCAGCUGGUCCUGGUGCCUCUUGUCCACUGUGGGGUUGGUUUAGUUGUGGGGACAACAUUUGGGACACAACAAGAAAGAUAUAAUAAUAGCUCAGAGGCUUUUGAAGAGGUGAACAUUUUAUUUACUAACUAGUUGCUACUGCAAAUAAAAAUUCUGAGUACCCACAAUAAGGUUAAUUUUAUCUUUUUGCCAGGAAAUUUGUAGCGUGUUCCUUUGGCUCAAAUACAUAGACUAUGUGCUUUCUAAUAAGCUUUGAUUCACUGAAAACCAACUCUGUUAAAGCAGCAACAUAUAAAACUAAAGAAACCCUUCUCAUUUUCCCUGUAUGUAUAGUCAGAAUCCUAUCUCCAAACAACCUUAAAAAAAGUUUUCGAUGCUACUUUUUCAUUCUUCUUAGUUCAGCAUAGCCAACAGUAAAGGCCUUGUUGACAUUAGGCAAAUAUGCAAUGAUGCAGCAAAAUCAAUUUAGUCACACUGAUGCAAAUCCCUCACACAGAUGUAAUGCCUGUGUGCAAAGUAGGGCAUUUCUGAGUAUAGACAAUAUUUAAAAUGAAGUGAAAGAGAGAGAUUCUAUUCUUCCCAACUGAUGCCUUAAUGUGAUUCACAUAGAUAACCCUGAAAUGCUAAGCUGAAAGAAAGGGACUUUCCAGUCAAAACUUAGGGUACAUUAGGAGUACUGUUGAUUGGGAAGGAAUAUCAUGACCUUUAAAUUGCAAAUUGCAGUAGCUUAACAGAUAGAGUAACACUUUAAAAAACACCCUUUACAUUUAAAUUGAGUAUAUUUGACCUUAAAAUCACUAGGAAAAAAUAUGUCAUUGCAUAACUCCAUUCUAUGGUUCCUUUUCAGAACAGAAGUGAAAAAGAAUGCACUUUUGGUCCUGGACUGUUCUUUGUAAUUUAAUGUGAUCUGCUGUCAACAACAGGGAAAAUAAACCUCUGACACUCAGUAAGAAUAAGAAGAGGACAGAACGUACCUUACUGUGGGUAUUCAGUCAAAGAUCUGCUGGCCAAAAAUGGUACAAUUUGUGAAGGCGUAACUGAAAAACAGGUGGGGACAACAAGGGACGUGUCAGUAGGAAUACUGGUAAUCAGGUAAUGAGCAUAAUGACCAUCUUCCUUUGCAAUCUGAAGAGGUUUGAAAAAUUUUAUUUUUCUCUUAAAUUAAAAAUGCUUCAGAAAACCAUGAAGUUGAAGUAAAAGUUCUGGUAAUUUGGUAGUUAUCUUUUAGGUAUUUUUUGGACAAAAAAAAUUCUAGGUACUUAAUGUUGCAGUAUAGCCUUUAUUUACCAUAGUAAUAAAUGAAAGAUCAAAAUCCAAACAAAUUAUUUGUAUUGAAAGCAUACUUUUUAAUCAAAUCAGACUAUGUCACAAAACUUUUCUUCACAAAGUAUUUUAAAAUUGGGGAAACUUUUUCCUAAUCUAAAUGGAAGCAAAUCCUGAAACCCGGGAAUCUCUUGUUAAAAUCAAACUUUGAUUUUCCUUGCAGCUAAAGUUUCACACUAGAGAAGUGAAAAUAUAUCACCCAGGGCUUCCUUUCCAUGUACAUUCACCUACUACCAUUGCUACUGAUGCUGUCAGUGACUGUUAAAGCAAUAUUUUUUUCCUCUUCCAUUCUCCCUCAAAAAGAAGUUUAGGAAGUCCCUCUUCUGGAAUGAAGUCAGGACAGAAUCUCAUUCUGGUGGGCUGCAGUUUCCCAGUGGACCCAGUGACUUGAGAUACACUGUUUUGUACAUAAAUUAAGAGGAGUUUGCAGUGCUUCAUUUUGUUCUAACAAUAGCACUGACGCUAACAAGAACUUGAAUAAGAAACCCUCAUAACGUAAAGAAACAGGGGCGAGGGAAGUGCUUUAGGCAGGUAGGGAGCUAAGCAAUCAAUUAUUACUGGAUUUCUAACCAUGGGCAACACAACUAUACCCCCUACUUUAUAGUUCCUGAGAUUACUGAGAUUCAUCAGCAGAAGCUGUGGUCCCCCCUGGAUAAUUCCUGAGUUCCUUGAAAUGAGUCUAAUACCCAAUAAGGUUACUUGUGCUGCUGCAGAAAGAUAUUUCUGGCCUUUUACAUGUCAGAAAAGAAACUGGAUAUGACAGUUUUGGAGCUGCCCUGUGAUAAUUUAGGAAUAUGGUCUGUUGGCCUGAUUAUUUGGUUGAAUGUCUGGGUUUAACUCAUCAGGGGUUAGCUUCCACCUGCACUCUUAAAUUACCAGGGCUGGGCUGGGCGGUGCUUGCUACACUGGGAUGUCCCACUUCCAUUGUGGUUGCACAGUCAGUGAGCACAGGGAAUUGGAAGGGCAGAGAGAUUUAAUUUUGAACCACAGGAUCUCUGCAGUCCUAGCAUCCUACUCAUCCCUAGGAAAGACAAAGGAUUCCAAAGAUCCACUGGGGAUCAGAGAGGGGACCUGUAACUGUUUGAUAAAACAGUUGGAUAGAGCACUGUGGGGAUGGAGGAAUGACACAACGACCUCAGGAUCAAUAAGUGCGUUCAUUUAUUGUCUAUAAGCAGUCAUUUUUAUAAGGCACUUAAUAAGCUCAUACAUAUUGCAAAAGCCAAGCUCAUGAUUGGUUAAUCUUUAAAACUUACAUUUUUACAUGUAAAAACUUACAUUUUUACAUGCUUACAUUUGUGCAUAGCUAUGCCUACAAUUUAACUCUUCUUCCCUAUCUGCAGUACAGGGUCUUCCUUUUGAUUCUUGUUCUACUACAUGAUCAAGGAGACAACUCCCAAAGAACAUUCCAUUUCUCAGUGACCCAUUUCUCAGUGACCCUUAUCUGCUAACCAUUCUUGAGCUAUGCUGCUCAGUGACACAUCCUCCAGAGAGCACUGUUAGGGAACGUUAACUGGGAUGUGUUUCUGUUUAUCUAUGUCAUUUCCAUGUGUUUGUGGAACUUUCUAUGAAAGUGAAGGCUAACCCUAAAAAAUACAUUUUGGAAGAAAAUGGGUUUGUGAAUACCACAGUCAUUUUCAGCAGUUUUUAUCAAACACUGGGCAUUCAGAACUGGCAUGUUGCCUCACCCCUUGGGCAAGCUCCUUUUCCAUAAAAGGGAACCUAAUGGGGUGAACCCAGGGUUAAUUUACAAAAGCUAGUGUCCUCUCUGAACAUGAAACCAAUGAAAAACUGUGCAGAGGUGAUGUUAUUCUAUAGUUUACAGUGGAGACAUGUUGGGUGGAGAACUGGAAAUAUUACAUGGCAGCUGGCCCACUCCAGGGUGCUGGACCCAGCCUCAUCUGUGUGAGCUUCCAGCUGAGACCAAGCUGGUCAAGUGAAUCGCUUUUCAAUUGCGAAAGAAGAGCACCAGAGGUUAUUCGGCAGGUGCCCAAGAAAUAUUUUAGUUGGGUAAAGAGCAUAUAUAUUAGGACACAAAAAAGGUCCCUAACAAACCAUUCCUCAAUAUGGAAGAAAAGGGUUUUUGUGUGUGUGUCUGUAUAUGUUGGGUGAGUGAAGUACAAAAACCAGAAAGUUGAAAAUCCUAAGAAAAUUACACAAAUCAGGUUUCUUUCACUCUCUCCUGAGUGAGAGGACAAGCAAGUAGUUUACUAUAGCUUUAUGGGUUCUUGAUUGUGGAGUUCCAAAAGGCAGCCUACAGGCCUGAGCCAUAUUCUGGAUUAAUUCCUAAUUCAGUCAUCAGAACUAGGGAAGCAGUAUGUUCAUUCACUGCUUAUUCCAGGUGUUUGGGCAUGUAAAGUUCUCCUAUACUGUUGCUGGAAAGGCUAAUAUAUUAUAUCUCCCUAACAGCGAACUCCUGAUGCACUCAUCUUUACUCCAGUGAACAUCUUUUUUAUGAAUUUCACUCAACAGAAAACCCAAACAUAUAUUAAGAUACCCCUUUGUCAAAAGAAGCCAGACUAGUAAAUGCUGUGUAUUUUGGUACAGAUCCUCCCAGUGACUGCUUUAUGUUGCCGGUAGUAGAGUCUGGCCAAAAAGCUGCUACAUUUACCUCUUGGAUGACUAUAGUGGCAAAAGCAUUUUUUAAUGAUACGCAUGGAAUGCUGAGUCUCCUCGCCACUUCCUUCACUGUUGCCACAUAAAGGUUAAACUGAGCUGUCCAGAUCAAACAGCAAAGCUCCAUGGCUUUAUUUUGGUCUAAAAAAAACUUUGGGAAGAGACUAUUUAGUGUCACAUUGCUGUUUCAGGAGGAGGAAACGUGCAUGCUGAUGUUUAGGGUUUUGGGAAGGGUUGUAUUCUGUAGGAGCUGAAGGACUGACUACUACAAAAUCUAGAAAUACAGACAAACUGAACCAGGGAUGAAAGUAAGAAAUCAGAGACAGGAAGUAAAUUCUAAGUGCAAGGAGCUCCUAGUUACACGCCCUCCGUUGAGAAGUUCUGCUGUGAAGUCAGCAGCAAUUUCUUUCUGCAGCGGAAGUUUCUUAACUUCUUAUGGAGUAUGUUGCAGGAAUCUAGAUUACAAAUGGCAAAGAUUUAGAUUGCAGUCUCAAAGUGUGUAUCUAAACAGAAGGCAGAAUCUUCUGGAAUUUGCUUUAAUUGGGAUGUCCAGAAGAAGCACAGGAUGUAGUAAAACUCACAAAUUGUAAAUGGAAGUUGUUACUUGUUAGCGGCAUAGGAAGCUUUGAAGUUCUUCUGUGAGUUUGGAAGAGGGAAGCAACUCAGGUUCUAGAUGUUCCCUGCACCUAGUCAUCUUGAUUUCCAUGGUUUCUAAGGUGACUAUCAGUUUGUCACCAUCCUCAUUCUUUCUUCAUUGCUUUGACUCAUCCCAGUGAAACACUGGAGAACCCAAGAAGUCGUCUUUUGUCAGAAACUAAACAAAACCAUCAGCUGUUUCCAGACUAAAGAGAGCACAGCAUUAUUGCCCCAUGGCAGGUUUGUUUGCAUGACCUUUUUCAAGCAGCCCCAAGUCAGCUCUGCCUGGAGUCCCUGAUGGCCAGAUGGGCCGUGUAGCUGUGGCCUAAAAGCUGUGCACCCACGUGAGUGUAACAGGGUGCAGCUUCUCUCAGUGUUGUCUGAACAACGCAGUUACACCUAAAAAGGUUUUUCCCCUCACUUCCUUGUCUUCAUGUACUGAACAGCUGGUUACCUCAGGGUGAUUAUUUCUGUUCCUCCAUACCCUUUUUGCUCCUGUCCUGAGUACUCCUAAUAUAUGCCACCACUAACAGGAAGGCUCUACAUUCAAAUUCAAAUUAUACAAGUUCAAACAUUUAUUUUAAAUCAGAUGCUGUUCAGAUGCUAUGCAACUACAGAUUUUACAGCGCAGUUUGAGUGAGCUUUGCAAACAUCCCAAGCAAACAAACUUUACAGGAAACAUAAUCCUAUUAUUUUACUAAUCUUUGGAAUACUGGCUCACCAGCACCAUCAUUUGCAGCAGAGCACCUGCUCAGUUCCUUCUCAGGUGAUCUUUUUACUGUUUCCUGUGUUGACACCUAUUGGAGAAACAGUUUAUACUAGUUUCAGAAAUCAUCUUAUUUGAUGAUCUUAUGAAACUGUGUGUCCGCAGUUUCCAUCUAUUAAAACUAAUGAAACGUGCUUCAGUUAUUGCCUGUUUCCCCACAUACCCUUUCUAAUGGUGUUCUUGAUACUUUUUUUAGCCUUAGAGAACCUGUAGCAUCCUCCUUAGCUUUAAUUCUGGAACCCAUUUCAUCAUUCACACUUGCAUGUUCUCAGCGUGUUAGCUCCUGUCACAAGGAAUUGUUAGCACAUGAUCAUAAUGUGUUGGGUAUCCAAACCAGCGUGUGUGGGAUCAGAGAGAGAGGACAAUGAGGCGCUAUCCUACCACUUGGUGAGUCUUAGCAAAGAGAGAGAGGCAGCUGGGCUCAGAGGAAGAAGGUGUGCUUCAAGAGAUAGUUUCUGGUGGCAUUUUUUCCCAACGUGUAGGAAGGUCAGGGGUUGAGAAUGUAUGGUAUGUCCCCUCCAUUGAUAUUCUUAAGCAGGGAAUGACAUUCAUCUCUUUGUAAUUCCUCAUUGUAAAGCUAAAUCUGCCCCCCCCACCCCAAAACAAACUGUUGUAUUGUUCUCCUGUUAUCAUGAUAAAUUAUGGAUGUGAGACACGCUGAAUCAUGACAAUGCUCCUUGUGCUGAAGAAAAUCCUCUUUUGUCUUUUAUGACUUUUUUAUAGUCCUAUUUAUUGUGGGACCUAUGUUAGGGUCUUAAUGGGAUUGCAAGGAAGCAGGAAGUGUACUAGCUGCUCUGGGAUUUUAAGCACAGAUGUCUUGAAUAUUCUGAGGAGCUUGCAUCGGUUUAUGAUUGACCAGCAACCAGCAUGUAAGCAGUGCUUUGUGUCUGCAUGCGUACUUUAUAAAUCACAGAAUCAGUUUGGGUUGGAAGGGACAUUAAAGAUUACCUGCUUCCACCCCGUUCUGCCAUGAGCAGGUAUACCUUCCACUAAACCAGGUGGUUUAGCCCCAUCCAACCUGGUUUUGAACACUUCCAGAGAUGGGGCAGCCACAGCUUCUCUGGGCAGCCUGUUCCAGUGCUUCACAAGCACAAUACUUAAGGCCUUUGA